UACAGAGGGUGCAAGCGUUGUUCGGAAUUAUUGGGCGUAAAGGGCGCGUAGGCGGUGCGGUAAGUCUGUAGUGAAAUCUCUGGGCUCAACUCAGAGUCUGCUGCAGAAACUGCCGUGCUUGAGUGUGGGAGAGGUGAGUGGAAUUCCUGGUGUAGCGGUGAAAUGCGCAGAUAUCAGGAGGAACACCAAUUGCGAAGGCAGCUCGCUGGGACGUUACUGACGCUGAGACGCGAAAGCGUGGGGAGCAAACAGG
rnacentral:rRNA from 1 species